rnacentral:tRNA from 1 species
GGCACCGUAGUUUAGUCUGGUAGAACCCCAGUCUCAUGAGCUGGUGAUCCCCGGUUCAAAUCCGGGCGGUGCCA